CAUUUGCCUGCCCAUUGGUCAGAGGGUGGUCUUAUGUGGGCAGCGGGGAACGGUGGCUAAUAGUGUGGGUGUUGCAUAAAUUGUGCCUCUCGGCGGAGCGAACAGAGGAGUAGUUGGCAUGUGCAUGGCCCCGGCUGGGCUUUAAUAACAGCCAUAUAGAUAGAUGACUUAGAUAACAAGGUUAAGCGAAGGACUUUCGCCGGUGACUUCCACAAAGGGAGUGAUUAGG
rnacentral:lncRNA from 1 species